rnacentral:misc_RNA from 1 species
AAGUCGUAACAAGGUUUCCGUAGGUGAACCUGCGGAAGGAUCAUUACCAAAUCCAAAAAUCAACCACUGUGAACUGUAUCUUUGUCCUUAGGGAAAGUGAUUUGUUGUCGAUUUAUCGGCAUCAUUUUCCUUUCCCUGUUGAACACCUUUAAACUGUACUGUAUUGUUUUUCAAACGAUUAACAAAGACAACUUUUAACGGUGGAUCUCUUGGCUCGU